rnacentral:lncRNA from 1 species
CGUGACCACAUUUUCCUUGAAAACAAGGAAAAUAUUUUUCUUGGGGGAAGGUGGAUUUUAUUUUCCAUGGAAUUUAACCCUUCCAAAAAUUCUAGUUGGUAACCAACCACGUAAAUCUCUCUCUCUCUCUCAACUCUACCCACCCACGUCCAAAUCGCUGCCUCUCUCUCUCACAUAGAUUCUCAGCCAGCAAGCCGUCUCUCGUCCAUUCAACCGAGCAAUCAGCUUCUCUCACAUCCAUUCAACCGAAGCACGAAGAAGAAAUCGACCGAUCGUGUUUGAAGAAAUCGACGAGACGGUAACUGCAUAGAUUCAGGUUACUCUCACAAUAUUUGAUUUCUAUAUGUGUAAUUCUUAAUUAAACCGAGUACAAAGCGAACACGAAUUUUUUGGAAUUUGUUUUUGUUUUUUUGAUUUUGAGAUUCCAGAAUUUUUCUCCUCUUUAAUGACCCCCAAUUCUAUUUCUGUGAUGGGCUCUGCAAGGUUGAGGUGGAGGUGGAAAGAAAUUGGGUCUGCAAGGUGGAGGUGGAGCUGGACAUAAAUUGGGUUCGGGUUCUACAAGGUGGAGGUGGAGGUGGAAUCUUGCAAUUUUGUUGGCAUAUGUAUCAUUUAAGAUUUCCCAGAGUUAUGAAAUCUUUGUCUUUAUCUAUACUUGCAUUCGAAGACCUUGAAUGAAUUAAGCUUUCAAUGGUUGAGUUUCUUGAUUAAUUUAAAUGUAGUAUGAAUGAUGGGGGCUGUGGAAGUGGAGGCAGUUUGGGAAUAUCAAAAGAAGACAUCCCUGGUAUGAAGUUAUGAGGAAGGAAAUUCACAUGAUUGUUAACACUAAAUAAGCUUUGAUGAGGGUUUACCUAUCAAAUAACCAACGCAUUGCAGAAUGGUAGAUCAAAUCAAAGGAUAGAUCACUAUUAACUCAUUGAUCGCAUUGGGUCUGCUGGGUUUGUAUGGUAGGUUGCUGCUUACUCAUUAAGAAAGUAGCACAAUUUAGAAAACUUAGUUUAUGCUGAUUAAGUUGUUAAACAUGUAGGUUUAGGAUACGGGAAGCAAAGAUGAACCAUUAUUAAAUAGUGAUGCAGAAAGUGAUGAUUGUGAGUUAUAAGAAUAUGUAGUUAAUUCUAUUGGAGAUAUAUCAUUUUUGGUGGUUUUUACUAUAUCAUUUUUGCUUUUUUAAUAUAUGUUUUUUGCUGGUUUUUACUGUAUUACAUUCGAAGAGUAACUGGAAUCCAGUGGUAUUUAUAUCGAUGGUUUUGAGGGUAACAUCAAUUGAAUAGUUCCUCACACAUGUUAGUAGAAUCUCAGAAAUUGGUUGAGAUUUCUUUGCUAGAGUAGUGUUUGGAUUUUCAAUAAGAUAAUUGCCGGUAAGUUCUCACUGUUUGCCUAAUAUAGCACUUGGAUCCUGACUUCAAUUAUGUUGGUAUUAGGGUCAGCAUUUUGACUAUUUUGUAGCAAUUUCAUUUUUUCUGCUGUUUUCUAUCUAUUAGAACCAUUUAUCCUUCAUGUUACUUGCAUUUGAGGCUGCUUUCUUGGGUAUCUUCGUAGGAAAAAGAUUUUCAUAAAAGGAAUCUCUUUUUACUUGUUACCAUAUUUGAUGAAAUUUAAGUAAAAUUUGUCUCAAAUUCAUUACCAAAUUUUCAUUUUUGGACAACACUUCAGAGUUAAAGAUUCUGAUGCACAUUAUAUGUCUGUAGAUGUCUUUUGGUAUAGAUUUUACGCAUUCAACAGGGCAAAAAAUUAAGUGUCCUGGUCAACCACCUCCAAGAUUGAAUCAUCAACUGUUUUAAUUAUUAUUAGGUUUUUCAAAUAGCUAACUGGUUGGUUCGCUUGGGCCAUAUUCUAGCAAAUUCUUUUGAUGAUUUAUUUCAAUUUAAUUACUGGACUGCCAGAACCAAAUGAAAGUUUUGAUCUAGACCAGUACUAAAGGUGGUCUUUUAAAUAGUUAUUUGAUAUUGCCUCUGAUAAUGGCAAUGAAGGUAGUUCCUUUUAGUAUUUGGAGAAAAAAGGGUCUUUUGGGAACUUCAUUUCUCUAGACCUGGCAGCAUUGGUUGUUCGUAAAUUUAGGGAAAUGUUUGAGUUUUCAAUCGCGCCCUCACAUCCUACUAGUAGGAAUUUGUUCUUUAGUCUAGUAAUGCUGGAAUUUGUUCUUUAGUCUAGUAAUGCUGGAAUUUUAUUUAUUCCAAUCUAUCUCUAUGAAAAUUUUUCCUUUAUAUAUCGUAUCUACAAGUGACGUUGUGAUUAAUUAGUUUCAGAAUGUGUUAAUCGUUUAUUUGAAAUACCAUAAAGUUUUUUAUUUUUAUUUUUAUUUUUAUUUUUUGACUGUCCAGGAAGUAGAAACAAAUUCAAGAAACUAAACCCAGCUAGCGUUUUGAUUGGCUUGGGUGCGUGUAUCUACGGAUCUAUUACCAAUAUAAUGCACAAUAAAUUAACCGUUGUCCAUUGUGCAUAUUUUCCUGCAGCUACAGUUAACUUUUUAUUCUGUAAUGAUGUUAUGUUAUUCUUUAUAAACAAAUUUUUAUUGGAUUUUUGUUUACCGUGGUAGUUUAUAACAUGGCUUCAACAACGAAUCAACGUCGAUGCCGACGACAACAUUUAUGUUUAUUUUGGACAAUGGUCAUACAAGCGAUUGUGAUAUAUAACGAAGUUAGGCGUCGUGCACGACAUCUUCCAAGAGCUCCUCAUACAAAUUGGAAUUCUGAAAGAGAAAUAACACUUACACGAAUGUUUGGCACGAGUGAUACAAUAUGUCGUGAUCUCCUUAGGAUGAAAAUAGGUCCAUUUCAAAGAUUAUGUGCUCGUUUGCGAACUUAUGGAUUGGUUGACAGUAAAUACGUUCGAAUUGAGGAACAAGUAGCAAUUUUUCUGAAUACAGUAGGGCAUGACCAACGUAAUCGCGCUGGACGUUUUACUUUCUUUCACUCUGGUCAAACAGUGAGCUUUUACUUUCACAGAGUCUUACACGCUUGUCUUGGACUGUAUAGAGAUGUUGUGAUUAAUGCCACUCCUCAUAAUUCACCAUACGAAAAAAAAAUGUGCAGCCGUGGUACUCCUUUUUUCAGGUUAGUGGUUUGUAGAUAUUUCAUCAUAUUUUUUAAAACUUCAAUAUUCACAUUUAUUUUGAAAAGUAUUAUUUUUUAAAGGAUGCCGUAGGAGCAAUCGAUGGUACACAUAUAGCUGCGUAUGUGUCUUUAGAGGAGCAAGGUAAGUAUCGCAAUAGAAAGCAAGUGAUUUCCCAAAAUGUUUUAGUAGCUUGCACAUUUGAUAUGAAAUUUACGUACAUGCUUGCCGGUUGGGAGGGAUCUGCACAUGAUGGUCGAUUGUUACGGAGUGCAAUAUUACGCCAAGGACAUAAGCUAACAAUUCCUGUUGGUAAGUUCUGUCACUAUUUUGAAAACAUUUCUUCCACACAUAAGUUAUAAUAAUUACCUAACUACCAUCGUAUGAACGACUCUUUCCUAGGUAAAUAUUACCUUGUUGACGCUGGCUUCCCAUCGGUUUUGGGUUUUCUUGCACCAUACCGUAGGACUCGUUAUCAUCGUAGAGACAUUGAAGGUCAACGUCCUGAAAAUAGUAAGGAGUUGUUCAAUUUUCGACAUUCAUCUCUACGUAAUGUUAUUGAGCGUACAAUUGGGUUGCUAAAAAAAAGAUUUGCAUAUUUGAGACAUCAACCCUAUCACGACAUUGACACACAAGCAAAGAUAGUCCUUGCCUGUUCUGCCAUCCACAACUUCUUAAGGAUUGAUGACGUUGAAGAUGUUUGUGAGGAGGACGACUUAGAUAGUAGUGAUGAUGAGGUUAACCCUACGCAUGUUGAUGUACCUGAAGAUGAAACUCCAAAUGCUCACAUAUCUUUCACAAAUCAGAAAGUGUGGUCUAAUAAGAGGAAUGCGAUUGCUGAUUUAAUGUGGGCUGAUUAUCUUCCCAAUCAGAAUGCGGGAAUUGAUUUCGAUUGAAAUCUUGUCUUUUUUUCUAUGUAUUGGAUAUAAACUUACUAGACUUUCAUAUGUAGUAAUUGAUUGAAUUGAAGACGUAUUGACAUUAAGCAUAUUUUUUAUUUUUUUUUUCCCAUGUCCUGUAAUAGUUGACAUAAGAUUGCUAGAAUUUUAAAUAUUGUAAUUGGAAUUGUUGUUAUUG